rnacentral:rRNA from 1 species
CCUACGGGAGGCAGCAGUGAGGAAUAUUGGUCAAUGGUCGGGAGACUGAACCAGCCAAGCCGCGUGAGGGAUGAAGGUACAGAGUAUCGUAAACCUCUUUUGUCAGGGAACAAAGGCGGGGACGUGUCCCCGGAUGAGUGUACCUGAAGAAAAAGCAGCGGCUAACUCCGUGUCAGCAGCCGCGGUAAUACGGAGGAUGCGAGCGUUAUCCGGUUUUAUUGGGUGUAAAGGGUGCGCAGGCGGUCUGUUAAGUCAGCGGUAAAAGCACGGGGCUCAACCCCGGCCCGCCGUUGAAACUGGCAGUCUCGAGUUGGAGAGAAGUAUGCGGAAUGCGCGGUGUAGCGGUGAAAUGCAUAGAUAUCGCGCAGAACUCCGAUUGCGAAGGCAGCAUGCCGGCUCCACACUGACGCUGAGGCACGAAAGCGUGGGUAUCGAACAGGAUUAGAUACCCGGGUAGUC